rnacentral:rRNA from 1 species
CCCUUAGAUGUUCUGGGCCGCACGCGCGCUACACUGAUGCAUUCAACGAGUGUACCUUGGCCGAGAGGCCUGGGCAAUCUUUUGAACGUGCAUCGUGAUAGGGAUAGAUUAUUGCAAUUAUUAAUCUUGAACGAGGAAUUCCUAGUAAACGCAGUUCAUCAAACUGCAUUGAUUACGUCCCUGCCCUUUGUACACACCGCCCGUCGCACCUACCGAUUGAAUGGUCCGGUGAAAUCUUCGGAUUGAGACUUUGUUUUCUUCACGGAAAACGCUGUUUUAAAAAGUUGAUUAAACCUUACCAUUUAGAGGAAGGUGAAGUCGUAACA